rnacentral:ncRNA from 1 species
UUAGCUACUUUAGAUAUGGUUUGUAGACAUGACUGACAUCAUGGAUACAAACAUCAGUAUAAAACUGAUUUUGUAUCUGUGAUGGCUAAAGAAAUUUGAGUUGAUCAAAUUUGGCCACAUAGAUGAAAUAAUCUAAGUGGUCAACAUACCCAUAACUUUUGAGGGCGCCUAUUUAGAUUAUUUCAUCUAAA